rnacentral:rRNA from 1 species
UACGAAGGUGGCAAGCGUUGUUCGGAUUUACUGGGCGUAAAGGGAGCGUAGGUGGUGGGGUAAGCCCCGCGGGAAAGCUCCAGGCUUAACCUGGAAAGGUCGCGGGGGACUGCUCCGUUUGAGGACGGGAGAGGAGCGCGGAAUUCCCGGUGUAGCGGUGAAAUGCGUAGAGAUCGGGAGGAAGGCCGGUGGCGAAGGCGGCGCUCUGGAACGGCCCUGACACUGAGGCUCGAAAGCGUGGGGAGCAAACAGG